rnacentral:misc_RNA from 1 species
GAUGAAGAACGUAGCGAAAUGCGAUAAGUAAUGCGAAUUGCAGAAUUUCCGUGAAUCAUCGAAUCUUUGAACGCACAUUGCGCCCGCCAGUAUUCUGGCGGGCAUGCCUGUUCGAGCGUCAUUUCAACCAUCAAGCCCCAGGCUUGUGUUGGGGACCUGCGGCUGCCGCAGGCCCUGAAAACCAGUGGCGGGCUCGCUGUCACACCGGGCGUAGUAGAUUUUAUCUCGCUCAGGGCGUGCUGCGGGUUCCGGCCGUUAAAAAGCCUUUUUUACCCAAGGUUGACCUCGGAUCAGGUAGGAAGACCCGCUGAACUUAAGCAUAUCAAUAAGCGGAGGA